rnacentral:rRNA from 1 species
UACGUAGGGGGCAAGCGUUGUCCGGAAUCAUUGGGCGUAAAGAGCGCGUAGGCGGUCCGAUAAGUCGGUUGUGAAAACUGGGGGCUCAACCCUCAGAGGCCGACCGAUACUGUCGGGCUAGAGUCCGGAAGAGGCGAGUGGAAUUCCUGGUGUAGCGGUGAAAUGCGCAGAUAUCGGGAGGAACACCGGUGGCGAAGGCGGUUCUCUGGGCCUUACCUGACGCUGAGGAGCGAAAGCGUGGGGAGCGAACAGG